rnacentral:rRNA from 1 species
AGGAUCAUUAUUGAAGUAAACCUGAUAGUUGCUGCUGGUUCUUUUGGGAGCAUGUGCACACUUGUCAUCUUUAUAUCUUCACCUGUGCACCUUUUGUAGACCUGAGUAUCUCUCUGGAUGCUUUUUUAGCACUCAGGAUUUGAGGAUUGACUUUUUUUGUCUCUUCUUCACAUUUUCAGGUCUAUGUUUCUUCAUAUACCCUAUGUAUGUUAAUAGAAUGUCAUUAAUGGGCCUUUGUGCCUAUACAAAUUACAACUUUCAGCAACGGAUCUCUUGGCUCUCGCAUCGAUGAAGAACGCAGCGAAAUGCGAUAAGUAAUGUGAAUUGCAGAAUUCAGUGAAUCAUCGAAUCUUUGAACGCACCUUGCGCUCCUUGGUAUUCCGAGGAGCAUGCCUGUUUGAGUGUCAUUAAUAUAUCAACCUUCUUUGGUUGGAUGUGGGUUUGCUGGCCUCUUGAGGUCAGCUUUCCUCAAAUGCAUUAGCGGACAACAUUUUGCCAACCGUUCAUUGGUGUGAUAAUUAUCUACGCUAUUGACGUGAAGCAAGGUUCAGCUUCUAAAUGUCCAUUGACUUGGACAAAUUAAUUUUAUUAAUGUGACCUCAAAU